rnacentral:lncRNA from 1 species
GGAGGAUAUGCACUGCAGGGGUCUGAAGAUCUCAGGUGGAGGCUUCUUUGAACUUCUACCACUCAGUUACCAGGAUACACUUUGCUUUCCAGUCUCAAACCACUUGUGUACUGUGGCUGAAGCAGAGGAUGAUCCUGGAGAAGUGCGAGCUACAGACUUCUCCCCAGGUAUGAGCCCAGUCAUCUGUUGUCUCAUCCUGGGGGCUGGGGGCGGGAGGGAGCAGGAAGCAUGCUGGGCUAUCACUGAGUCUUUAUUUUCUUCUCCCCCAGAGCCCAGGCCUGUCUCUGUCUAUUCAUGGAGUUUGUAA